AGCAAUUUCACUAAUCAAUUUCUUGCCACUUUGUCUGGGGGGGUAGAUUUUGAUUGGCAUUGCCUCCCACCUCGGGGAAGAUCCGGCGGGGUUUUACUUGGGGUUAAGUGUGAAACGUUGGAGGUUCGGAGCGUAGUUAUGGGCGAGUUCGCUGUCAAGUUUCGGGUUAGAUCUAAGGCAGAUGGGUUUGAUUGGGCUUUGGUGGCAGUUUACGGAGCUGCACAACCAGAACUCAAACCAGAUUUCUUGGCAGAUUUGGUGCGCAUCUGUGGUAAUGAACAGUUACCUCUCUUAGUGGGAGGGGAUUUCAACAUUAUCCGAAGAAAAGAGGACAAGAAUAAUGCCAAUUUUGACGGUCGAUGGCCCUUUAUGUUCAACACUAUCAUUGAAAGUUUGGAUCUCAGAGAGAUCGAGCUCUCGGGUAGGAAAUUCACUUGGGCUAAUUCGUUACCGGUCCCGACCUUUGAGAAACUUGACCAUGUGCUAGCUAGUGUCGAGUGGGAACAGAAGUUUCCCCUGGUAACGGUGCAGGCUUUGACUCGAGGUGUCUCGGAUCAUACACCGCUACUAGUCGACUCCGGAGUUCAAAAUUUCGUGGGAAACAAGAACAUUUUCUCGUUUGAACUUGCCUGGUUUGAAAGAGAAGGGUUCCUUGAGUUGCUAGCUAGAGAGUGGGCUAUGGACUCGGGAGGUAGGACGCCUAUCGACAGAUGGCAAUCCAAGAUUCGUCAUCUCCGUCGAUUCCUUCGUGGCUGGGCUAAGCACACGCAUGGGAUUUAUAAGGUGGAGAAGGACAGACUUCUUCUA
rnacentral:rRNA from 1 species